UACAGAGGUCUCAAGCGUUGUUCGGAUUCAUUGGGCGUAAAAGGGGUGCGUAGGUGGCGCCGUAAGUCAGGUGUGAAAUCUCGGAGCUUAACUCCGAAACUGCAUUCGAUACUGCCGUGCUUGAGGACUGGAGAGGAGACUGGAAUUUACGGUGUAGCGGUGAAAUGCGUAGAUAUCGUAAGGAAGACCAGUGGCGAAGGCGGGUCUCUGGACAGUUCCUGACGCUGAGGCACGAAGGUCAGGGAGCAAACGGG
rnacentral:rRNA from 1 species